UACGGAGGGUCCAAGCGUUAUCCGGAAUCAUUGGGCUUAAAGGGUCCGUAGGCGGUUUUGUAAGUCAGUGGUGAAAGCCCAUCGCUCAACCCUGGAAUUGCCUUUAAGACUGCAUCGCUUGAAUCAUGGAGAGGUGAGUGGAAUUCCGAGUGUAGAGGUGAAAUUCGUAGAUAUUCGGAAGAACACCAGUGGCGAAGGCGACUCACUGGACAUGUAUUGACGCUGAGGUGCGAAAGCGUGGGGAGCAAACAGG
rnacentral:rRNA from 1 species